AUAAAAUUCAACAAGUUCUUAAACUGUUCUAAGAACUGUUUGUAGAUAAAGCAUAGUAGAUAAAGAUAGGUGGGAAGAAACCUGAAGGAAAAUGAAAAAAUGAUAACAUUUGGAAGUCUCAAGGGAAGAAUAGAGAACAAUAAAACAACGUACUUCAAGAAACUCAGUGCAGGUCUGAAUCACUUCAGAGUGUGAGAGCUGAACAAUAAAUAAUGUGGGCAACAGAAUUUUUAUGCUUGGUGUUCUUCUUUCUCUUUUUAAGUUUAAGUUGACUUAUCCUGUUGAAAUGUACUCUACAUGACUUGGAGCAGGCUGAGGCAACUGCAGAUUCUAAACAGUAAUCUUUUAUAAUUCAUGCAAGACAGUAAGACACCAGAAGAUCAGGAAGAGUAUGUCUUUCAACAGGAUAAAGGAACUGUAAGAGGUCAUUCUUUUACGCCGUUGCCUCAAAGCUUGCUGAGGGACACAGAUGAACAAAUUCAAGCAAGUCCUGACCAAGGAUUAAGAAAACCUUCGUCUGAAGGGACAACAGAUGGACAACGCCUGGGGCAACGAGAGAGGAUGGCCUCUCUGCUGCUGCUCACCCCUCCGAGAAGGUGUCUGCCAUCAGAUCCCUCACUACAAAAGGCCUGCAUGCUGACUGACUCUCCAGGGCCUGCUACCGGAGACCUGCUGCUUCCGCCCAGACUUCUUCCUGGACCUACUCGGUACCUGCCUGCACCUUCUCGCUGCCUAAGACCGGCCACACCGCUGCUGCUCUUCCCCUGCGCUUUUGCCCCGGACCAUCGGAACGUCGUGCAACGGGACUACUGCCGGAUCCUGGUGAGAAAAUCCUGCUUUAAAACCAAAGGAAAUCCAGAUUAAACAGGAGAAUGUGGAGGAAGCACAAUGACAGCACAUGAAAUAGUGCUGAAGACCCUGCAAUCACUCUGGAAGAGACUUCCGUAUCUGCUUCUGCAGACUGUCUGGGACCGUUAAAUGACCAAAUAUUUAUCUGUGGUUGAAAAAAUGACAUAUUUCUUCUUGUUUGCUAUCUGACCAUGUUGUUUGUACAAGCACCCUCAGAGGUGUGCAGAAGUAUACAUACAGCUGCAAGGAUAUCACUGAAAGGUGAGAAGGCUUAAGAGGUGAGCCAUCUUACACGUUUGAUUGAGGCACCUUCUGUCUGGCUUUGGAAUCCUCAAAUAAGGAUAUUGAGGUCUUGUGAGCUGCUGUUAGAAAAUAUAACACCAGUUAUUUGGUGGAUAGGUCAAAGGUUUGUAAUUAGUACUGGGACUACAUCCAUCCUUGCACUGUAUAUUCACACAGGCUCAUCACAAUCAUGGGCCUAAAAUAGGAACAUCUUACACAGUAGAGGAAUGUUACCAAGGUGUGAAGGCUCUUGCUUUUUCAGGAGAAUAACUGGGUCAAAUUAUAUAAGGAGGAUAGAUUUUUAAAAAAAGCCAUUUUUCUUGUAAAAUGCAUUCCUAUUGAAUUCAUAAAAUUCUUACAAAAUGAUGGAUUUUGAUAUAUUUUUGAAUGGGAAUACAUAGAUAACUCCUUCAGAUUUCAUUCUCUUUUUAUACUACUAAAACAUCUUUUAAAA
ensembl:lncRNA